rnacentral:lncRNA from 1 species
UUUUCUCUGCCUCUCAUCAUCUUCUCACACAGCCCCCCUCCCUUUUCCCUUUUUUUCUCUCUUUUUCUCCCUGUCUCUCAUCAUCUUUUGAUUCUUUUCACAGCCCCCCUCCCUUUCCCUUUUUUCUCCAUGCCUCUCAUCUCCCUAUAGCCCCUCCUCCUUUUCUCUCUAUCUCUCAUCUCUCAUCUCUCAUCUCAUCUCUUUAAGUUCACCCUUGCAUCAACAAUACAUUUACUCUAAUCAAACUACAUGGGCUGGGCAGAUAAAAAAAGAGACGACUUUUUGAUGAUUAAAAUUCUAACUCCAUUUCAAGUUUAUCUCUGCAGUCUGCAUCUUGUGGGUUUUUGUUUUUUUUUUUUUAUUAUUAUUAAGUUAUAAUUUGCUUGUAAUUUGUGGGUAGAUUUGUGUUCUUGAACAACAGAAAUCGAGAUUUGCUUGUAAUUUGUGGGCACUGGACAUCGAGAUUUGCUUGUAGUUUGUGGGCACUGGGCAGAUCUGUUUUCGUGAACAACAUAAACUGAGAUUUGCUUGUAGAUUUGCUUGGAGUUUGUGGACACUGGGCACCGAGAUUUUCUUUUUGGUUUUACCGGUUUUUGAACAACAAAAACCGAACCGAACCGAACCGAAACC